ACCCUUCAACACCCAUUGCUCCUAUGGGUGUGGACCCACAACAUUCCUUGAAAUGCCUUAUUGCUGAGAUCAUUUUACAGAUGAAGAAACUGAGGCCAAAAGGGUCAAGUGAUUUUCCCUGGGUCAUCUAGUUGGUAAGUGUCUGAGGCCAGAUCUGACCUCAGGAAGAGGAAUCUUUCCCCUGGACUCUAUCCACUGUACCACCUAGCUGCUC
rnacentral:lncRNA from 1 species